GCCUUCGUGGUAUAGUGAACAGCACGUUCGACUCGUAUUCUGGAGGUCCGUGGUUCGAGUCCCGGCGAGAGCA
rnacentral:tRNA from 1 species